UGGGGAAUAUUGGACAAUGGGGGAAACCCUGAUCCAGCCAUGCCGCGUGAGUGACGAAGGCCUUAGGGUUGUAAAACUCUUUCGUCGGGGACGAUAAUGACGGUACCCGAAGAAGAAGCUCCGGCUAACUUCGUGCCAGCAGCCGCGGUAAUACGAAGGGAGCUAGCGUUGUUCGGAAUCACUGGGCGUAAAGCGCACGUAGGCGGAUAGUUAAGUCAGGGGUGAAAUCCUGGGGCUCAACCCCAGAACUGCCUUUGAUACUGGCUGUCUCGAGGUCGAGAGAGGUUGGUGGAAUUCCUAGUGUAGAGGUGAAAUUCGUAGAUAUUAGGAAGAACACCAGUGGCGAAGGCGGCCAACUGGCUCGAUACUGACGCUGAGGUGCGAAAGCGUGGGGAGCAAACAGGAUUAGAUACCCACGUAGUCCCUGAGCGGGCUGGCAAGGCGCAU
rnacentral:rRNA from 1 species